CGGACAGAAAAAGCGGGCAUUACCACCAGAAGUCAGGGAGUGCCAUCGACGUCCAAGUGUCAGGGAGUGUGUGCACGCUGCCUGCUGGGGAGCCUGCGCAGCUGUCGGAGAGACACGGCUCCCCAAGCACAGCACCCGCGGCCACGGGCAGCUGGACAAGAGGGGCAGACUUACGUGAUCUUCCUGGCAGGUACUAUACUUUGGAGAAAAAAACAUGGCAAAGAGAGCAGCGAGAAAAUUGAGUGCAGUAACUGAAAAACAUCUCUAAUUGUGGAUUCCUUCACAAGGAGAGACAUGGCACCUUUUCUCAGCACAGCUCUUGUAAAAGACAACUGUGAAAAUACUCUAAGGUCUCUUUCAAUAUUUAUUUCUGCUGGACGGUCUGAUAGCCAGAAUUGGACAAGGCAAGGGCAUUAUGAAGGGAUCCUCGAAUUCCAGGGCACAAAUGUCUUGAGCUAUGGGUUUUAUUUUAAGCAGCCCUGAGAGAGAAAUCUAACGCAAAGAAGGAACAAAGAUAUUAAAAGACUCCUUUGCCUCCUCUCUCCCUGUUCUGCAGGUUCCAUGCCAUGUGUCCAAACAACUGUACAGAAACUGUACUGAAAAUUCAAAAUAAUUCUCUUGCUGUCUGCAGUGAAACACAGCUGCUGGGUUUUCCUGAGAUUUAAAUUCAACAGCUCAAUUUUGAUAGCAAUUCUGAUUCCCAGGAUUUCCAUGGAGCCAGAUUUGUCUUAGACGUGCAAGUUCAGUAAAAUUCGUGUCAGUAGCUAUCAGUGUUUAUGUAGUAUGGAAACUGGGCACAUGCUUAGAACCAGAUGAAGAUUUUUAAGAAACCCCUUUUUACUGAAAUGGAGCUGCAGGGAGUGGACAGUAUUGAAUUUUCAAACAAUUGUAACCAUCUGACAACAAUUUUUUGUUUAUAAUACUUAAAAAAACCUCUCAACGAAACCCAGAAAAUUCUCAAUAUGACCCAGAAUAUGAGACAUCUGUGGUCUUCAACAGUGGAGAACAACUAGCAGCAUCUCAAGGGACUCAUCACAUAAUUCAGAGACUUUUUUUUUUGGCUCUCUUUCGUGCUGGGUUUGAAGACAGAUUGCUUUACAAGGUAUACAUGGACCGAGGAAAUUUCUGAAAUUGAAAUUAUGAAGAAAGUUUUCUUGCAAUAAGUCUGCUAUGUACUUUUUAUUGCUUUUAAUCCAGAAACACACAUGUGGGUUUUGAACAGGAAAACAUAUGAAUCAGGAAUACAUCUGCAAAGCAGGGUCCUAAUUUUCAAAGGAUAAAGACAACACUCUACAAUUUCUUUUGUUUCUGGCUUUCUCCCACAUAAGUUUUUGUGCAUGCAAAAUCUGAGGAUGCAAAACUGAUGGCAAAUCAUAACAUGCCAGCCACCCAAUCAAGACUUUGUUUUUGUUUUAAUUUAAAAUAUAGAUUAAAAGAUACCAUAGCAGUACCAAUAUCAGUGGCCUAUGGACAAUGAUGAUGAUAAUAACAGUACGACCCAAUGCAGUUUUAAAUACAAGAUUUGGAUAAUAGCUGGUGCCCUUCACCAUUGUCCUGCUUCUGGCCAGGACAAGGCUAAUUUUUAUAAUAGCAAGAAGAGGGCAUGGCUGGGUUGUUGAGGUUGUUCUAUAUCAUCUCAUGUAAUCUACUGGGGAUGGAAGAAGAGGUUCCUUCCAUGUCAGGAUCUUCAUAAAAUGACAGACUAUUUGCAAGGAGAAUGAUGUGGGAAGUCCAGAGAGGAGCAACUCAGUGCAGUGUACUGGGCCCUGGCCACUUUUUACUGGCCACAGUUUAAUACUAGACUGCAGUCUCAGGGGAAGGAGGAGGAAAUUAGACAAACAGGCACCAUGGCCACUCAAAGUCAGCUGAGUCAGAGGAGCAGUCUGUGCUGGUAGCAGUUUCUCUAUACAGAAGAAGAGGUCUAGGACCAAAUCAAAUUGCAUAGUGAGAAAUGAAGAGGAAGCAGGACCCUCGCUACAGGAGGAAGAGGUAAGGCCUGAGAUAAUCACCAAUCCCUAUCCGUGAGUGAGCUGCGAGAUAUGUGAAAAGGUUUACGCUGCCAGUCGGGUGAGGCCUACUGAACUUCGCUGCUCCAGUGCUGGGAUAUCAUGGCCCAUGGUAUGAAACUUGAUGAUAGUGAAGCCAAGCAGCAGGUAUCUCUGUCCCAGGAUAUGGGAAGAGGACAGAAACUCAACCUCUGAAGGUGACUCUAAACAGUAUUCUGUCAAGGAUGAUCUAGUAGUGCACCCAGGAAGGUGGAACACCAUGGAGAAACAGUGCUUCAGGUGACUACCUGACUCCAGCAAUGUGAUGAUCAUCUUUUUUCUACUUACAAACCUGCACCUUGUCUGUGGAAGGACUGUUCAAAACAGCAGAGACUAGAAAGGAUCGAGCAAGUUAGAGAGGAAAUAUUCCAUGCUCCUGCACUAUUGACCAGACUCUUUGCUGUUGGGAGCAAGUACCCUCCUGCUCAAGAGAGAGGGUACAAACUACAAGGUAACUUGUGGUUUUUGCUGUACGACCACAGACAGGAUGUGGGGAAGUGAGAUAGAAAACUCACCUCAUGCAUAGGUAUGUGAGUUGAGAGGAGUAACAACCACCACUGGAAAUUCAAGGACAAAUGUCACUCCAGUUUCAAGUGAGCAAGUCGUCAGAACAGGAAUGCUGAUGUUACUUCCAGUCCCCUUGAAGGGACUUCCAGUUGAUAUUUAAAAGAAGUGAGCAGUCAUGACCAGUGAGGUCCAACCAAUUGGAGAAAAGGGACAAUCACAUUUGUCUGACUUUGUGGAUCCAGUGGCCUAGAACAUCAGAUCCAUGAGAGAGUAAAGCUUCAGUUGAUCCCAGAGCACAAUUGUACCUGACACCACCAAGACAUGUAGGGGCAGAAUGUAUCACUGUUUCUGGGAUGACAAGGCUGCCUGGACAGCUGACUGUACUGGGAAUUGAAGUGACCCUGACUGGGAGUGAAUGGCAAACACACCCCAUUUUGACUGGUCCAGAAGCCCUGUGCUUCCUUGGCAUGCAUGAUGUCAGUAUUGGGCUUUUCAAGGACCCAGAAAAGCCAUAGUUGGGCUUUUGGGAGAGCUGCUUUGUAGACACAGGAAAUAAGAGAGCUGAACACCUUGCCUCAUCUCUCAGAGGACCCUUCUGCUGUGGGACUGCUGAUGGUCAAAGAACAAAAGAUAUUGAUUGCUGCUAUAGCAGUGCACUGACAAUACUGCACAACCAGGACUCUGUGACUCUGAUCCAUGAGAUGAUUUGUGGUGAGUCAGGGGUGGUCAGUAAGACUGGCUCUCUGUUUAAGAGUCCCAUACAGCCAGUGUGUAAGUCCAGUAGACAGUGGAGACUGACAGUGAACUGUUGUGGUCUGAAGGAAGACACACCACCAAGUGCUGCUGUGCCAGACAUGCUGGAACUUCAGUAUGAACUGGAGUCCAGGACAGCAAAGUUGUGCCACCGCUGACAUUGCAAAUGUGCUCUGCUCCAUGCCUUGAGCAGCAGAGUGCAGGCCAGAGUGCUUUCACCUAGAGGGGCAUGCAGUACCCCUAGAACCGACUUCCCCAGGGCUGGAAACACAGCCCCCAUAUUUGCAAUAGUCUGAUCCAGACUGCACUGGAAAAGGAUGAGGCUCCAGAACACUUACAGUACAUCAAUGACAUCAGUGGGGGAGCAGCAGACAGAGUUUUUUGAGAAAGGGAAGGAGAUAAUCCAAAACAUCCUAAUAGCCAGUUGUGCCAUAAAAAAAUGUAAGGUCAAGUAAGUAAGGAAACUGAGUUUUCAGGAAUCAAAUGGCAAGAUGGACACUAUCAGUUUCCAAUGGAUGAGUUCAACAAAAUUGUGGCCUUGCCCGACCAACAAGCAAAAGGGAAACACAGGCUUCCCUAAUUCAUGUAGGGUUUUGGAGGAUGAAUAUUCCAGAUGACAAUUUGAUUGCAAAUCCUAUUUAUCGUGUGACCCAGAAGAAUGAUUUCAAAUGGAGUCCUGAACAGCUGCACAGGAGAUUGUUCAUGCAGUAGCCCUGCAGCCAGUCAGGACAGGACAGGAUGCAAAAAAUGUGCUCUACACUGCAACUGAGGAGAUCUUCCUAGAGUGUCUGGCAAAAAGUACCCAGGGAGACCCAAGGACAACCCCUAGGGGUCUGCAAUCAGGAAUACAAAAGAUUUGAGAACUGCUGAAAAAGAGAUCCUAGGAGUUUAUGAAGAAACUCCAGGUGUUUCAGAAGUGAUUGUCACUGAAGCACAGCUCUUCCUAGGACCCUAACUGCCAGUGCUGGACUGGACGUUCACAGGCCUUCAUGCAGCUUGGAACCAGCUGACAGCACACCAGCCCUCCAGCCCUGGAAGACACGUAGGACAGAUAGAAAUCACAGUCAUGGACUAAAUGAACUCCGCAGACAUCUUGGACAGACACUGACUAUGGAAAUGGUAUCUAUGCUUGUAAAUCCUUGCCAACUGAUUCCAGGCAGAAGAUUGGCUUUGGUUCUGCAAGCAGCUGCUUAACUUCCCACUUCGCUGGAGAAAAACAAGAAGUAUGCUACUGAGAGACAGGAUUUGUCUGAGUCAGAGUAAAUCAUUGGUUCUCCCCCUUUUUAAAGUUCUAUGUGAAAACAGAAGAUGAUCUCUUAAAGCAGUAAUUAAUGCCGUAAGGUAGUAAAGUCAGCUCCAUCACUGGAGACAGCCCCUUGGAAGACCUGAUUGGAAAUUGUUUACUGAUGGGAACUUUGGACAAGAUGGAAAACAGCUACCUGGAUAUGAAGUGACUGCACACCAUGAGAUAAACGUAUUGGGCACAUGCCCCACUGGUGUUUUGGCCCAGAAAGCAGAACUAAUUGCACUCAUUCACACUUUGGAACUGAGUAAAGGAAAACAUGGUAACAUGGACUGAUUCAAAAUAUUCUUUUGGAAUGGUACAUACACAUCGAGCCAUCUAGAAGUAAAAAGUCUUUUUGACAUCUCAAGGCACAUUGAUCAAAAAUGAAAAAUAGUCCUUGGAUUUAUUUGAAAGAAACCAGCAGAAGUUAGUGUCAUGCAUUAAAGUGCAGUUGAAGCGUGAUUCAGCUGUUGUAAUGUCUUACACUAUAAAAUGAAAUAUAGAUGCUUAUGGACAAGCUCCCUUAAAGAACUUAGUCUCAAAAGAAGGGGAGACUUGAUAAAAACAGUGGAACAGAACAGCAUAUUACUCUCAUAAGGACAGUCAAACAGAACAGCACAACGUUGGAGAAAUAAAGGAUGUAACUUAGGCAAACAGGACCUGUGCAAUACGCAAGCAGGAUGCCAGCUCAGCUCUGCAAGGCUGGCAAAGCAGAAGUCAUGCAAAACAACAAUACUGUGCUAACUCAAAAGCUGGGGUUGAGGAAAAGCCACCUAAAAAGAACACCUGACAUUGAAGACCACCAAAGAAGACCUGAGAAGGACCAUAUAAGGACUUUGACAAGAGGUGUGGUAUGUAAAAUACAGUAAUAAAUAUACAUCGAGUAACGAGGGAUAGUUGAUGAAUAUGUAAUCAGUGUCUAUGAUAAAAACUCUGCCAGUGCUUGGGGCACUCAGAGGAACAAUCCUCUUUGUGACAAGUGAACUGUAAUAAAGUAUUUUCUAUUUCUAAUA